GUUGUGCUAAUACCGCAUACGCCCUGAGGGGGAAAGCGGGGGGAUCGUAGACCUCGCGUUAUUGGAGCGGCCGAUGUCGGAUUAGCUAGUUGGUGAGGUAAAGGCUCACCAAGGCGACGAUCCGUAGCUGGUCUGAGAGGACGACCAGCCACACUGGACUGAGACACGGCCCAGACUCCUACGGGAGGCAGCAGUGGGGAAUUUUGGACAAUGGGGGAAACCCUGAUCCAGCCAUUCCGCGUGAGUGAAGAAGGCCUUCGGGUUGUAAAGCUCUUUCGGCAGGAACGAAACGGUGGGGGCUAAUAUCCCCUGCUAAUGACGGUACCUGCAGAAGAAGCACCGGCUAACUACGUG
rnacentral:rRNA from 1 species